rnacentral:misc_RNA from 1 species
UACGAAAUUACACAUUUCCUUGUUUAAGAAUGUUUAGCCCAAAUUACAUGCAGACCAAUAAAGCCAUGUAGGUGGUGGAUCACCAAACAUCUGCCCCCUUUGUUGCCCCAAAGACAAUUGCUAUAGUUGCCAGAACAGCCGCAAUAGUGCAAACAACAAAUCCUGCUUUUUCCCUGUAAUCAACUCUGACACAUAGCAGAAUGAAGGCUCCAACAUACCAGGGAAUAGCAACAAAAAAGAAGCCAAGGAUGAAGAGAAACCAUCCAAUACCCAUGCCACAGCAGGGAAGACGGUGCAGUCUUAAGGGCCUGCCUUCAGCAACAACUGCAUAACCGGGAACGGCCUGGUAGCCAUGGGCGUAGUAGGCCGGGGUGGCGGAGUGGACUCCGGCGCCGGGCGGCGGAACCGGCUGAGGGAAGCCGAUCGCCGGCGGUGAAUGGCUCGGAGCGCCACCGCUGUGGAACGUGCCGUAGUGAUCGGGCUUCCCCUCCUCGCUCAUUUUAG